AUUCCGUGAUGAGAACACUUUUGUAAUAAUUCUUUGUACCUUUCCUAUGCCUAAUACAAGGACUCAUCAUCCAUUUGUUAGAAAGCAAUUAUCUCAUUCCUUAACGU
rnacentral:snoRNA from 1 species